rnacentral:lncRNA from 1 species
UAAAUAUAUAUAAUUAGAUUAUUAUAUUAUUAAUAGCACAGAAUCAUUAGUGCUAUUAAAUUUUCGGCUCUUCGUCUAAAAAAAAUAUACAAUUAGAAUGACCGUGAUUCCUUAGAAGUUAGAACUAAGUAUGUAGUUAAUUAAAUAGUAUAAUUUAACGGAUGAAAAUAAUUAAAGUAUAGAUCUAAGCAAAAAAAAUUGAUAGCAUAUAACAUAGUACUCGGAGUCCGACUACUAUACUAUCGAUAGUACCAAGUUCUUGAUACUAAUCGAGUUUUUUAUCGUUAGAUCUAUUCGUUGAUCAAUUUCACCCGUUAGUUUAUACUAUUUAAUCAACCACCCAUCCAACUCUAGAAGACCACUAUCAUCUUUACCACACAUGUUUUUCAUCCAACGCCUGAACUGUUGCUACCCAUUUGUUUUCGAUGUUAGAACCUCCAAAUCAAUGAUCGGUACCGUUAAAUAUAAUCUAUACCACUUAGAAUGUUUAAAAAUCAAAUUUCCUACUUUUUCAAUAUUAUUCUUUUGUCCAUCAAGUGGAUACAAAAAUGAACGGUCGAAAAUGAAUAUCCUCUAAAAAAUGAUGGUAGGAGUCUUGUAAUCAAAAUCGAGAAUAUUGAUCUUAUUCUAAAUAGUUUAAAGAAUUUUUUAACCAAAAUUUAAUUGAUUUGGAUAUCUUUACACCGUUAAACUAGAAAACGUCUCAUAUGAACUAUUAAAAUUAUAAAUUUUGAAACCUUUUAAUCGUUAGGUUCAUGAUGUCGAAAAUAUUUGAAAUUUGGUUUCUAGAUACUUCAAGUGAUAUAAAUUAUAUUCAACGGUACCGAUUACCGAUUUGAAAGCUCCAUCAUCGAAAAUAAAAAGACGACAACAGAGUCCGUUUACUACUGAUAGUAUUCCAGUUCAACUAUAAAUACAUAUAUAUAUAUAUAGAGAGAGAGAGAGAGCAAAGCUACUGUCCUAUCAGAAAUAUUGAGGAG